GCAGCCAUCAUUUAAAGAAAGCGUAAUAGCUCACUGGUCGAGUCGGCCUGCGCGGAAGAUGUAACGGGGCUAAACCAUGCACCGAAGCUGCGGCAGCGAACGUAUCACCCAAGACAACUUUACGGAGUUGACGAUUGACGGAGCGAAGCGACGUCAAAGCGUUCAUUAAAGUCGAGUUGGCUUAGGGAUACGUUCGUUGGGUAGGGGAGCGUUCUGUAAGCCUGCGAAGGUGGCCUGUGAGGGUUGCUGGAGGUAUCAGAAGUGCGAAUGCUGACAUAAGUAACGAUAAAGCGG
rnacentral:rRNA from 1 species